rnacentral:rRNA from 1 species
GAUGAACGCUGACAGAAUGCUUAACACAUGCAAGUCUUUGGCGAAGCUGUGCUUGCACAGCCUAGCCAAGGCGGACGGGUGAGUAACGCGUAAGGAACUUGCCCUGCAGUCAGGGAUAACAGACGGAAACGACUGAUAAGACCUGGUAAAGUCAGGCGGACUCAUGUCCAGCCUGAUGAAAAGAGAUGCUGCAGGAGAGCCUUGCGUCCUAUUAGCUUGUUGGUGGGGUAACGGCCCACCAAGGCGAUGAUAGGUAGCCGGCCUGAGAGGGUGGACGGCCACAAGGGGACUGAGAUACGGCCCUUACUCCUACGGGAGGCAGCAGUGGGGAAUAUUGGACAAUGGGGGCAACCCUGAUCCAGCAAUUCUGUGUGCACGAUGAAGGUUUUCGGAUUGUAAAGUGCUUUCAGCAGGGAAGAAAAAAACGACGGUACCUGCAGAAGAAGCGACGGCUAAAUACGUG